rnacentral:rRNA from 1 species
GUGGGGAAUAUUGGACAAUGGGGGGAACCCUGAUCCAGCCAUGCCGCGUGUGUGAAGAAGGCCUUUUGGUUGUAAAGCACUUUAAGCGAGGAGGAGGCUCUUCUAGUUAAUACCUAGGAUGAGUGGACGUUACUCGCAGAAUAAGCACCGGCUAACUCUGUGCCAGCAGCCGCGGUAAUACAGAGGGUGCGAGCGUUAAUCGGAUUUACUGGGCGUAAAGCGUACGUAGGCGGCUUUUUAAGUCGGAUGUGAAAUCCCUGAGCUUAACUUAGGAGUUGCAUUCGAUAGUGGGAAGCUAGAGUAUGGGAGAGGAUGGUAGAAUUCCAGGUGUAGCGGUGAAAUGCGUAGAGAUCUGGAGGAAUACCGAUGGCGAAGGCAGCCAUCUGGCCUAAUACUGACGCUGGGGUACGAAAGCAUGGGGAGCAAACAGGAUUAGAAACCCCGGUAGUCC